AGCAUUUAAUGUACAGUUCCUUCUAACUCUAAAAAGACAUAUUAAAAUGUUCAUAAUGUCAAAAAACCUGAAAACAACCCAAAUGUCUAUCAACAGGUGAAUGAAUAAACAAACGUGGUAUAUAUAUAUAGUGAAAUAAUCUCUGCCACAAAAAAGACUUUUGAUAUAGCAACAAUCUCAGAUACAUUAUGUAGAAUGAAAAAGGCCAAAGACCAUAUUGGUUUGAUUUCAUGUAUGUGAAGUUCUACAACCAGCAAAGCUAUUCUAUGGUAAUAGAAAUCGGAACUGUGGUUGUCUUUGAGGAGUGGAGAUUGACUGUAGGAGGCAUGAGGAAACUUUCUGGAGUGAUGGAAAUGUCCCAUGUCUUGACUGGGAUGUGGGCAUACAUUUGUCAAAACUCCUCAAACUAAACUUUUAAGUGAUGUGCAUUUUACUGUACAUUACAUCUCAACUUUUUUUUAAAGCAGCAGAAAAAGACAAAUAAAACUGAAUGCAUCUCCACUGAAGUGGAUCUCUAUUAGAAUGUCUGCCCAGGAAACCUUUUCUAAGAAACACUCCAUCCAAUGCAUGGUUGUAGCCAGAGCAGUCAUGAAGAUAGAAAGGCAUGAAGAAAAACUGAGCCCUGGCCAUAGCUGUGUGCACCAGAUUGGGCACCUGACUUGAGCUUUACCAAUCAAAGCCUUUUCCCAGGAGUAUGCAAUUGAGAGAGAGAUUGGCCUUUGUCUGAGUGACUGAACUAUAAGUGAGGAAUAACAUUGGCAACUAUGGUUAGUAAGAUUUCACCAGUAGAAGGGAAGUGCUCAUCUUCAGAGAAAGAGAAAAGUGAAAAGACACAAGGAGAGGAGCACAGGGAAAGAAGAGGGAAGAUCCGGAUAGUACCUGUAUCCUCAAUCUUGUUCAUGUCUGAUGUCCAACUGUAAUCCUGUCCUCAGUUCCUUGUACAACCUCCCC
rnacentral:lncRNA from 1 species